rnacentral:rRNA from 1 species
CACGUAGGGGGCGAGCGUUUGUCCGGAUUUAUUGGGCGUAAAGAGCUCGUAGGCGGCUCGGUAAGUCAGGUGUGAAAACUCUAGGCUCAACCUAGAGACGCCACCUGAUACUGCUGUGGCUAGAGUCCGGUAGGGGAGCAUGGAAUUCCUGGUGUAGCGGUGAAAUGCGCAGAUAUCAGGAGGAACACCAGUGGCGAAGGCGGUGCUCUGGGCCGGAACUGACGCUGAGGAGCGAAAGCGUGGGGAGCGAACAGG